rnacentral:lncRNA from 1 species
GUGCAGUUAAACACAGUAUAAAUUAGAAAAUUAGAAAAAGAGAGAGAGGUGCUCUGUGUGAUGAUCACUUAUUAUACUAAUUUAGGAAUCAUAUUUGUACUAAAAAGCUUUUGUGAAACCCACUGCAGAACAGCCUUACCUGCACUCUUCUCUUUCUGCUGUUUAUCCAUCUUCUCUUUCUGCUGUUUAUCCAUCUUCUCUUUCUGCUGUUUAUCCAUCUUCUCUCUCUUCAUCUGCUGAUCCUCCUGUUCCUCUCAGCAGCUAGUGUUUCCGAUCUUCCACUGCUGCUGGAAGAAAUGGUUUCCGAAAUGUUGUUGCACUGCCCCGCCGCUCGCCUGUAUCUUUCUCCUUUUCUAGUUUUCAAAACACAUGCGGAGCUGGAGGAGGAGAGACUGAGCGCGGCCUUGACUUGCUGUAUCGGCUUGGCUGUAAAGUCAUCGGGGGUGAGAACUUGGAGAUAAGCCAAUGGAUUCCUUGGCUUAACUGCUUGAAAGAUUACUCUUCGUGUAUAUUUUUAGAUUCUAGUUGUAAUCCUGUUUUCCGCCUGUAGGUUUCGCUGACGGGACAAUCUAAAUAAAU